GACUGGGUACUAUGCAACUUUAGAGCCGACUAACUCCGCCAGGUCUGGAAGGAAGCAACGGUCGUCAGGAAUCGGGUGUGCCGUAGAUUGCCUAGUCUUU
rnacentral:SRP_RNA from 1 species